rnacentral:rRNA from 1 species
AUACAGAGGGUGCAAGCGUUAUUCGGAAUUACUGGGCGUAAAGCGCGCGUAGGCGGAUGAUUAAGUCAGUUGUGAAAGCCCUGGGCUCAACCUAGGAACUGCAUCUGAUACUGGUCGUCUAGAGUUUAAGAGAGGGAAGUGGAAUUCCAGGUGUAGCAGUGAAAUGCGUAGAUAUCUGGAGGAACAUCUGUGGCGAAGGCGACUUCCUGGCUUAAAACUGACGCUGAGGUGCGAAAGCGUGGGUAGCGAACGGGAUUAGAUACCCCAGUAGUCC